UAUGAAGAACGCAGCGAAAUGCGAUAAGUAAUGUGAAUUGCAGAAUUCAGUGAAUCAUCGAAUCUUUGAACGCACAUUGCGCCCGUCAGUAUUCUGGCGGGCAUGCCUGUUCGAGCGUCAUUACGCCCCUCAAGUCCCCUGUGGACUUGGUGUUGGGGAUCGGCGAGGCUGGUUUUCCAGCACAGCCGUCCCUUAAAUUAAUUGGCGGUCUCGCCGUGGCCCUCCUCUGCGCAGUAGUAAAACACUCGCAACAGGAGCCCGGCGCGGUCCACUGCCGUAAAACCCCCCAACUUUUUAUAGUUGACCUCGAAUCAGGUAGGACUACCCGCUGAACUUAAGCAUAUCAAUAAGCGGAGGA
rnacentral:misc_RNA from 1 species